GUCUACGGCCAUGCCACCCUGAACAAACCCUAUCCCGUCUGAUCUUGGAAGCUAAGCAGGGUCGGACCUGGUUAGUACUCGGAUGGGAGACCACCUAGGAAGACCAGAUGCUGUAGGCG
rnacentral:rRNA from 1 species